rnacentral:tRNA from 1 species
GCGCUGUUAGCUCAACUGGAUAGAGCAUUCGGCUACGAACCGAAAGGCUGCAGGUUCAACUCCUGCACAGCGCG